rnacentral:rRNA from 1 species
GAUGAACGCUAGCGGCAGGCCUAAUACAUGCAAGUCGAACGGUGUAGCAAUACACAGUGGCGCACGGGUGCGUAACACGUAUGCAACCUACCUUACAUUGGGGGAUAGCCUUUCGAAAGGGAGAUUAAUACCGCAUAAGACAGUAACUAGGCAUCUAGUAGCUGUUAAAGAUUUAUCGAUGUAAGCUGGGCAUGCGUCCAAUUAGUUAGUUGGCGAGGUAAUGGCUCACCAAGACGAUGAUUGGUAGGGGAACUGAGAGGUCAAUCCCCCACACUGGCACUGAGAUACGGGCCAGACUCCUACGGGAGGCAGCAGUAGGGAAUAUUGGGCAAUGGGCGCAAGCCUGACCCAGCCAUGCCGCGUGCAGGAUGAAGGCGUUAUGCGUUGUAAACUGCUUUUAUACAGGAAGAAACGACUCUUGCGAGAGGCAUUGACGGUACUGUAUGAAUAAGCACCGGCUAACUCCGUGCCAG